GAAGUGGUAGUUUAAAUAAAACCAUAAGAUGCACUCUUAAAAUUGAGAAAACCCCCUCUCACUUCU
rnacentral:tRNA from 1 species